GCGUUUGGACCACAAGGCGAUGGCUGACAAGGAUUUAUCGGGGUAUCUGGCUCUUUUACUAAAAGAAAAUGCCAAUCUUAGCAGGACCAUCCUUCGGUACAAAAAUAUCUAAUUUCAAAUUUGCAAAAUUCCAAAUUUUCAAGAAAAAACCGGAACAGAGACAUAUUUUUGACGAGAAAUCUUUGGAGUGAUAAAUGAGCCUUACUUUGUGGGACACAUUGAAUAAAUGGAUCUCCGGUAUACUGCUCGAAGCAGCUACAAACAGGAUUAUGAUUGAUCACGGAACAUUGAGCAGACAAUCCACAAGCACCGAGACAAGGAAUGGUGGCGAUCCUUUGAAUCCAGUAACGCAGCUGCAGACAGCUUGACCGUUGGAAGGACGACAAUGGCUGUUCGAACCGCAGGGUGAUGGGUUGCAUAGAUCAACUGCGGUGGUUUCUGUCAUACCAUAAAUUCCAAAA